CCUAUGGGGGAAAGAUUUAUCGCCAUGAGAUGUGCCCGCGUUAGAUUAGCUAGUUGGUAAGGUAAUGGCUUACCAAGGCGACGAUCUAUAGCUGGUCUGAGAGGAUGAUCAGCCACACUGGGACUGAGACACGGCCCAGACUCCUACGGGAGGCAGCAGUGGGGAAUAUUGGACAAUGGGGGCAACCCUGAUCCAGCCAUGCCGCGUGUGUGAUGACGGCCUUAGGGUUGUAAAGCACUUUCAGCAGUGAAGAUAAUGACAUUAACUGCAGAAGAAGCCCCGGCUAACUUCGUGCCAGCAGCCGCGGUAAUACGAAGGGGGCUAGCGUUGUUCGGAAUCACUGGGCGUAAAGCGUACGUAGGCGGACUGAUCAGUCAGGGGUGAAAUCCCGGGGCUCAACCCCGGAACUGCCUUUGAUACUGUCAGUCUUGAGAUCGAGAGAGGUGAGUGGAACUCCGAGUGUAGAGGUGAAAUUCGUAGAUAUUCGGAAGAACACCAGUGGCGAAGGCGGCUCACUGGCUCGAUAC
rnacentral:rRNA from 1 species